GACGGGGGGGGCAAGUGUUCUUCGGAAUGACUGGGCGUAAAGGGCACGUAGGCGGUGAAUCGGGUUGAAAGUGAAAGUCGCCAAAAAGUGGCGGAAUGCUCUCGAAACCAAUUCACUUGAGUGAGACAGAGGAGAGUGGAAUUUCGUGUGUAGGGGUGAAAUGCGUAGAUCUCAAGAGGAACACCGAUGGCGAAGGCAGCUUCUUGGUCCAUUUACUGACGCUAAUGCACGAAAGCGUGGGGAGCAAACAGG
rnacentral:rRNA from 1 species